rnacentral:tRNA from 1 species
GCCGGGCUCCGCGAGUUGGCGCGCAGUGCUAGAGACACUGAGUUCGAGGGUUCGAGUCCUUCUCCCGGCA